UGCAUUCACUACUGUAAGUCGCUCUGGAUAAGAGCGUCUGCUAACUGUCAUACG
rfam:Salmo salar isolate Sally breed double haploid chromosome ssa06, whole genome shotgun sequence.